rnacentral:misc_RNA from 1 species
GUAUAUUUAACUUUAUAGGUACAAAAGGACCCAAUUCAACAUUCUAAAACAGAUUCAUAGGUUUGUGAUAAUGACAUAGACCUGAAAAAAUACAAGGGAAAGCCGACUUGAGAAAGCACAGCAGUCCCCAACUCGAAAAAUAAAUCCAUCAAAUAUCAGGUCUACAAAAUGUGCACAGUUGGAAAAAUAAAUAUGACAAGGCGUGCACAUAUCCCUCCAAGGAGGGCCAGCAACAACCUGUUCAAAGUUUAUUCAAUAAUGAUCCUUCCGCAGGUUCACCUACGGAAA